rnacentral:rRNA from 1 species
AGCGAACGCUGGCGGCAGGCUUAACACAUGCAAGUCGAGCGGGCAUCCUUGUGGUGUCAGCGGCAGACGGGUGAGUAACGCGUGGGAACGUGCCCUUCGGUUCGGAAUAACUCAGGGAAACUUGAGCUAAUACCGGAUACGCCCUUCUGGGGAAAGGCUUGCUGCCGAAGGAUCGGCCCGCGUCUGAUUAGCUGGUUGGUGAGGUUACGGCUCACCAAGGCGACGAUCAGUAGCUGGUCUGAGAGGAUGAUCAGCCACACUGGGACUGAGACACGGCCCAGACUCCUACGGGAAGAAGCAGUGGGGAAUAUUGGACAAUGGGGGCAACCCUGAUCCAGCCAUGCCGCGUGAGUGAUGACGGCCUUAGGGUUGUAAAGCUCUUUUCUCCGGGACGAUAAUGACGGUACCGGAGGAAUAAGCCCCGGCUAACUUCGUG